AACGUAGGUGACGAGCGUUAUCCGGAUUUACUGGGCGUAAAGCGUGUGCAGGCGGGUCGGUAAGUGGUGUAUGAAAGCGCCCGGCUUAACCGGGCGAGGUUAUGCCAGACUGCCGGUCUGGAGGGCGUAAGAGGGACAUGGAAUUCCGGGUGUAGUGGUGAAAUGCGUAGAGAUCCGGAGGAACUCCAGAGGCGAAGGCGGUGUCCUGGUACGUACCUGACGCUCAGACACGAAAGCAUGGGGAGCGAACGGG
rnacentral:rRNA from 1 species